GUAGGUGGCAAGCGUUGUCCGGAAUUAUUGGGGCGUAAAGCGCGCGCAGGCGGUUCUUUAAGUCUGAUGUGAAAGCCCACGGGCUCAACCGUGGAGGGUCAUUGGAAACUGGAGAACUUGAGUACAGAAGAGGAAAGCGGAAUUCCACGUGUAGCGGUGAAAUGCGUAGAGAUGUGGAGGAACACCAGUGGCGGAGGCGGCUUUCUGGCCUGUAACUGACGCUGAGGCGCGAAAGCGUGGGGAGCAAACAGGAUUAGAUACCCUGGUAGUCCACGCCGUAAACGAUGAGUGCUAAGUGUUAGGGGGUUUCCGCCCCUUAGUGCUGCAGCUAACGCAUUAAGCACUCCGCCUGGGGAGUACGGCCGCAAAGGCUG
rnacentral:rRNA from 1 species